GGUUGAAGAUGAGUGAGUCAGAUAUCUGUGGAGCGCAGGUGGCAGCCAGCCAGAGGAGACAGUGGCAGAAAGAAUCCAGCAGAGGGAGUCAAAGCAACCCAAAGAGCCACCCACAGUUACAAACCCAGAAGGGAGAAA